GAUGAACGCUGGCGGCGUGCCUAAUACAUGCAAGUCGAGCGAACAGACGAGGAGCUUGCUCCUCUGACGUUAGCGGCGGACGGGUGAGUAACACGUGGAUAACCUACCUAUAAGACUGGGAUAACUUCGGGAAACCGGAGCUCAUACCGGAUAACAUGUUGAACCGCAUGGUUCAACAGUGAAAGACGGUCUUGCUGUCACAUAUAGAUGGAUCCGCGCCGCAUUAGCUAGUUGGUAAGGUAACGGCUUACCAAGGCAACGAUGCGUAGCCGACCUGAGAGAGUGAUCGGCCACACUGGAACUGAGACACGGUCCAGACUCCUACGGGAGGCAGCAGUAGGGAAUCUUCCGCAAUGGGCGAAAGCCUGACGGAGCAACGCCGCGUGAGUGAAGAAGGUCUUCGGAUCGUAAAACUCUGUUAUUAGGGAAGAACAAAUGUGUAAGUAACUAUGCACGUCUUGACGGUACCUAAUCAGAAAGCCACGGCUAACUACGUG
rnacentral:rRNA from 1 species